rfam:Bacillus endophyticus strain Hbe603, complete genome.
UCUGGUAACCAUAGCCAAGAGGUCACACCUGUUCCCAUGCCGAACACAGAAGUUAAGCUCUUGAACGCCGAUGGUAGUUGGGACUUUGUCCCUGUGAGAGUAGGACGUUGCCAGGC